CCAACACAGGGAUUGAACCCAGGUCUCCUGCAUUGUAGGCAGAUGCUUUACCGUCUGAGCCACCAGGGAAGUCCACUAAAUUAUGCUAAAUCAUAGUAGAUUUAGCAUAAUUCUUAAGGGCCCUGGGAUUUUCAGAAUGGCAAAUGAGCAUUGGCUUCAACUUAAAGUCGCUAGUCAUGUUAGACCCUAACAAGAAAGUCAGCCUGUCCUUUAAAGCUUUGGAGUCAAGCAUUGACUUCUCUCUAGAAAUGAAAGUCCUAGAUGGCAUCUUCUAAUAGAAGACUGUUUUGUCUCAUCAUAUUGUUUAGUGUAGCCACCUUCAUUAGUUAUCUCAGCUAGGUCUUCUGGGUAAUUUGCUGCAGGUUCUACAUUAGCACUUGCUGCUUCACCUUGCACUUUAUGUUAUGCAGGCGGCUUCUGAAAUCUCAGGAACCAACUUGUGCCAGCUUUCGUUCUGCAGUUUCUUCACCUCUCAACCUGCAUAGAAUUGAACAGAGGGCUUUGCUGUGGAUUAGAUUUUGGCUCAAGGGAAUGGCUGGUUUAGUAGUUCCACUGUAGUUUCACUGCAACUUUCUCCAUGGCAGCAAUAAAGAGUAGCACUUUCAGUUUCCUUCAGUAACCUUUCCUUAGACUCACAAUAGGGCUGACUGGUACAAGAGGCUUUGGACAUCCUUCUCUCACUAAUUUUAAUCAUUUCUGGCUUCUGAUUUAAGAUGAGAGACAUUCAACUCAUUCUUUCAGUUAGACGCUUAGAGGCCAUUGUAGGGUUCUUAACUGGCCUAAUUUCAAUACUGUUGUGUAUCAAAAUAAGGAAGCCUGAGGAGAGGGCAGAAGACAGGAAUAGCCAAUCAGUGGAACAGAAAACCAUGCACGAAGUUUGAGGCCAUAUACAGGCAUCCCAGACAGUCACAAUACUAACAUCAGAGAUCACUGUAGCAAAUACAAUAAUAAUGGAAGUUUGAAUAUUACAAGAAUUAUCAGAAUGUGACGGCAAGCAAAAUGUGAGCAAAUGCUGCUGGAAAAAAUGGUGCCAUUAGAGUUACUGGAUACAGGGUUGCCAGAAACAGUUUGUAAGAAAUGCUGUAUCUGCAAAUUGCAAUAAAGUGAGGCAUGUAUAAAGUCUGUUUCAGAACCAGUGUUGACAGCUGUACCAAGUCCACAAGGCCUCUUUCAGAUGUGUAUCAUUGAAAUAUUUCUCCUUUUCAAUGAUACAAACAUUUUUGUUCCUCUUAAUGUUACCAAGUCCAAGCUUGCUCUGCUCACUGCUCAGCAGACCAGUGAGAGCGAGAGCUGAAGUGUUGAGACAAGGAAUACAACUUUAUUCAGUAAAUCAACUGACUGAGAAGAUGGCAGACUAAUGUCUCAACCGUCUUACUUGGGUCUGGAUGCCAGGUUUCUUUAUGGAUCAGAGAUGAGGAAGCAAAGUAAAAAGACCAUUAAUCUUGCAGAUAUCUUCUAGAAUGGCGAGCCUCCUGCAGGGAAUCUGUUUACUUCUUUCCUGCCAUCUACAGGUGGACAGGGUUCUGAACAAAAGCACUAUAGUUGAAAGGUAAGGGGCAGGAUUCUCUGAGGCAGACCUUUAUGUAUGAUUAUAAUAGAAACAACAGAAAGCAAGUCAGUUUCAACAUGGAGUCAGAAUUUACUUCUCCUUGCAAUAUUAUUUUUUUUAAUGUGACAGCUUGGUGCUUUACCCCAUAAAAAUGUAUUAGGACAGUAAAUUACUGUUAACUGGGUUCUCAUUAUUUUUACAACACGUUUCUUAAGAUCUAAAAAGAGACUAUUGUCCUAGCUAGGCAGUAUAUAUUAGUUCCUAGGGCUACUGUAACAAAUUACUACAAAUUUGGUGACUCAGAACAGAAACUUCAUGAGGGUUCUAAAGGCUGAAAGUCCAAAAUCAGAGUGGUGGCAAGCCUUGCUUCCUCUAGUAGCUCCAAGAGAGAAAUCGUUCCUUCCUGCCCAUAUUCCUCGGCAUGAGGCCUUGAUCUCUCCAAACUGCCUCUUUCUCCAUAUAUCUGUAUGUGUCUCACCUCUCUUUUAAAGAUACUUGUGUUGGCAUUCAAGACCCACCUCAAUAAUCCAGCAUAAUCUCAAGAUUCUAAAUCACACCUGCAGAGACCCUUUUUUUUUUUUCAAAUAAAGAUAAAAUUCACAGGUUUGGGGAUUAGGACAUGAACAUACCUUUGGAAGCCAUUAUCUGCCUACCACACAGUGUUUUAUUAAUUUUGCAAUGACAAAGACCAGCAUAGGUCUACUCUAGGAUAAUCCAAAAUGUGCUGAAUUGAGUCAACAGACCCAAGGGUCUCUAGAGAGAUCCUACCUACGAAAGCUACUCUGCAGAGAUCCUUCUAAGGGAAACCUGGAGAGUCAGUAGAGACAUUCAGGAAUUAAUAAGAGGUCCAGUCUGGGCUAUUUUCACAAUUCUAGAACUAAUAGAGUAAAUUCUGUUAACCAGUAUCCCUGAAUUACUUCAUUUUAUUACUGAAUUACCUUCCACUUGUGUUAGCACACAUCCUGUCUAUGCAACAUACUUUGUAUUAUUUAUUGAUCAAUGGUGACAGAAACUUCCCCCUUCUACUGACUUAGAUUUAGGAGUGAUAUAAAUAGAAAACUUUAUUUUCUCUGCUUUUCAUUUCCAGACACAACAAAAAGGAUUUUCCCUCCACCUCAUCCUCUCACCUUUAAUCAGACUUGAAUGAUUCGUAUUAGAAGAAAAUGAGUGCUUCUGAAACCAGUGUCAUGAUUUAGAAGGUUUUAUUCAACUCCCACACUGAAUUGAAUGGCAAGGAAUCUGCAGCGCCGGGGUUUCUAACCUAGAUGGAGCUCAACGCCACGUUUUUUCAAAACCCCACGCUGUCUCAGCAGGAAUUAGGUAUGAAGAAGUCCUCCUAGAACGACAUUUCCCAGGAUUAGGGUGGAAUAUAUCAACAAAUGCCUAAGGAAAACGUAAACUUAUUCCUUUAGGGCUAGAAUAUACAGCUUUUUGACUACUGCACUUUGAAAUAGAGGGCGAUACCAACACCUUUUACACUUUUUAAGACAGGUGAUCAUUUUCUCCUUAAUAGGGAAAUAUACCAAGUAAAG
ensembl:lncRNA